UGGGGAAUUUUGGACAAUGGGGGAAACCCGUGAUCCAGCCAUCCCGCGUGUGCGAUGAAGGCCUUCGGGUUGUAAGCACUUUUGGCAGGAAAGAAACGUCGCGGGUUAAUACCCCGCGAAACUGACGGUACCUGCAGAAUAAGCACCGGCUAACUACGUGCCAGCAGCCGCGGUAAUACGUAGGGUGCAAGCGUUAAUCGGAAUUACUGGGCGUAAAGCGUGCGCAGGCGGUUCGGAAAGAAAGAUGUGAAAUCCCAGAGCUUAACUUUGGAACUGCAUUUUUAACUACCGGGCUAGAGUGUGUCAGAGGGAGGUGGAAUUCCGCGUGUAGCAGUGAAAUGCGUAGAUAUGCGGAGGAACACCGAUGGCGAAGGCAGCCUCCUGGGAUAACACUGACGCUCAUGCACGAAAGCGUGGGGAGCAACAGGAUUAGAUACCCUGGUAGUCCACGCCCUAAACGAUGUCAACUAGCUGUUGGGGCCUUCGGGCCUUGGUAGCGCAGCUAACGCGUGAAGUUGACCGCCU
rnacentral:rRNA from 1 species